CGUGAAUGCACCGUCUCCAGCUGUAUUCAUGUUACGUCAUGUUGAUUGUUUCAUGUGGGUGCUACUCAUUCCAACUGCCUAUUUAACGCCCUGUCUUUCGUCUUCUGUUUGUCAGAUCGUUGUUUGUAGAUCCGUGGCUGAUGUCUUGUUCGUGUGUUCCUGCCUUGCUUUGUCUCCUGUCUGGUUUCUGUUGGACCUUUACCUUCACACACGGAUUAUUAUCACUGCACUUGGAUUUACCACCACCGUCAUCGUCAUCAGCGCACUCAACUCAUCUACUCACCAGUCUGCGCUGCCAUCAUGGUUCCUGUGUCAUUCUCCGACCUUCCAUGAUCUCAUCUUAUCCAAUAAACGCUGUUUACUUGC